UUCUGGCUCAGGAUGAACGCUAGCUACAGGCUUAACACAUGCAAGUCGAGGGGCAGCAUUGGAGUAGCAAUACUUCAGAUGGCGACCGGCGCACGGGUGAGUAACACGUAUCCAACCUGCCGCUUACUCGGGGAUAGCCUUUCGAAAGAAAGAUUAAUACCCGAUGGUAUAAAGAGUUCGCAUGUUCUCUUUAUUAAAGAAUUUCGGUAAGCGAUGGGGAUGCGUUCCAUUAGAUAGUUGGCGGGGUAACGGCCCACCAAGUCUACGAUGGAUAGGGGUUCUGAGAGGAAGGUCCCCCACAUUGGAACUGAGACACGGUCCAAACUCCUACGGGAGGCAGCAGUGAGGAAUAUUGGUCAAUGGACGAGAGUCUGAACCAGCCAAGUAGCGUGAAGGAUGACUGCCCUAUGGGUUGUAAACUUCUUUUAUAAGGGAAUAAAGUGAGGGACGUGUCCCUUUUUGUAUGUACCUUAUGAAUAAGGAUCGGCUAACUCCGUGCCAGCAGCUGC
rnacentral:rRNA from 1 species